rnacentral:lncRNA from 1 species
GCUACGUAAGAAGGGUGAGAAAAGGACUAAGGUCAAGGACGAAACAUACUAUGCUGAGAAGUUGGAAGAGGUGCGUACUAAGUCGAAAGGUUUGUCUUUGGUUGCUAAAGGUGAAAAUGAGGAAGAAGGCACAUAUCAGAUCUGGUCAUCAGGAUCUGAUGAUAAAGAGAUGCGUAAUCCUACGCAUGGAGCAAUGUUCGCGAAGCUGGAGGAAGAUUCUGNAGAGCCGGAGCGUGAGAUGCGUGAGCAGCAUCCGGAGCUAUUUGAAGAGUGAGACUUCGAGGGCGAAGUCUAGUUCUGGUGGGGGAGAAUUGUAACAGCCCGGAUUACCAGGUAUCUUUUAUUCAUAUAUUUUUGGUGUUUUGUGAGGGGACUCGGCGAGUUGGANAGAUUCUGAUGAAGAGGUGAAUGGUCAUCAUUUCAUGACCAAAAAUGCUGAUAAAUCUCCAAUGACUACCAAGGUACGUUCUAUUCUUCAAUCCUUCUAUAACAGCCCGGAUUUCCAGGUAUCUUUUAUUCAUAUAUUUUUGGUGUUUUGUGAGGGGACUUGGCGAGUUGGAGCUCAAACUCAUCGAGUAGGAUCACGAUUCUGGACACGGGUUCGCGCCUGGACUCGGCGAGUCCGCGCUAUUUAAUGAAACCCUAAUUUCCCGGUCCUAAGCCCUAUUUAAAGGACCUUAUGGCCCUUCAUUGCGGCUACCUUGACCUAGAGAGCACCAAAGCAGCUGAGGGUUCUUGUGAGUGAGAUAAGAGGCCAUUAUUCACCGAAUUUGUGUGUAUUUGCAAGAACGGAAGGGGAAAGUAAAGCUAGAAGAUUUGGGGAGCUUGGAUCUACUUCCAUUUCGUCAAGGGAAGCUUCUUGAGGUAUCAUUCAGAGCUUAUUUCCGUGUUUUUGUUGAUAUGGUCAAAUCUAGGGUUUCU